rnacentral:rRNA from 1 species
UACAGAGGUCUCAAGCGUUGUUCGGAUUCAUUGGGCGUAAAGGGUGCGUAGGCGGCGCGGUAAGUCGGGUGUGAAAUCUUGGAGCUUAACUCCGAAACUGCAUUUGAUACUGGUGUGCUUGAGGACUGGAGAGGAGACUGGAAUUCAUGGUGUAGCAGUGAAAUGCGUAGAGAUCAUGAGGAAGACCAGUGGCGAAGGCGGGUCUCUGGACAGUUCCUGACACUGAGGCACGAAGGCCAGGGGAGCAAACGGG